rnacentral:rRNA from 1 species
GACGAACGCUGGCGGCGUGCUUAACACAUGCAAGUCGAACGAUGAAGAAGAGAAACGCGAACUUCGGUUCAAAUUUCACUUCGGAUUAGUGGCAGACGGGUGAGUAACGCGUGAGCAACCUACCUCUUACAAAGGGAUAGCCUCGGGAAACCGUGAUUAAUACCAUAUGACACAUUCAUAAGGCAUCUUAAGAAUGUUAAAGCUACGGCGGUAAGAGAUGGGCUCGCGUCCCAUUAGCUAGUUGGUGAGGUAACGGCCCACCAAGGCGACGAUGGGUAACCGGCCUGAGAGGGUGAACCGUCACAUUGGAACUGAGACACGGUCCAAACUCCUACGGGAGGCAGCAGUGGGGAAUAUUGCACAAUGGAGGGAACUCUGAUGCAGCGACGCCGCGUGAGCGAUGAAGGAAUUCGUUUCGUAAAGCUCUGUUCUAUGGGAAGAAAAGGACUGUACCAUAGGAGAAAGCCCCGGCUAAAUACGUG